rnacentral:rRNA from 1 species
UGGGAAUAUUGGACAAUGGAGGAAACUCUGAUCCAGUGACGUCGCGUGAGGGAAGAAGGUCUUCGGAUUGUAAACCUUUGUCCUUGGUGACGAAACAAAUGACGGUAGCCAAGGAGGAAGCUCCGGCUAACUACGUGCCAGCAGCCGCGGUAAUACGUAGGGAGCAAGCGUUGUCCGGAUUUACUGGGUGUAAAGGGUGCGUAGGCGGCUCUGCAAGUCAGGCGUGAAAACUAUGGGCUUAACCCAUAGACUGCGUUUGAAACUGUGGGGCUUGAGUGAAGUAGAGGUAGGCGGAAUUCCCGGUGUAGCGGUGAAAUGCGUAGAGAUCGGGAGGAACACCAGUGGCGAAGGCGGCCUACUGGGCUUUAACUGACGCUGAAGCACGAAAGCAUGGGGAGCAAAC